rfam:Nicotiana attenuata strain TT chromosome 1, whole genome shotgun sequence.
GGGACAGAUUGUUAUAUUCGAUUGUAUUCACGCGUGAAACAGGGGAUUACAUUGUUUUUAAACUGAAAGUGAAUCAAUUAACAUAAUAGACUCCU